rnacentral:lncRNA from 1 species
GCUGAUUAUUAAUUAUUGAUUCAUUCUUUUCACAGAUAUAGGCCAAUUCAUAUUAUCUGUUUCUUCUUAUUAUGCUUUGGUAGAAGAUUCAGGACAACAAGGCAGCCAUGACAGUACAACUAAAGACACAAAAGACUUCAGAACUGCUUCAGAAUCACCCAGCGGACAUCAGAAAUAACCUUUGAUGGUAGAAGGCCUUUUUCAAUGCGACCCCAGUUGCUGCUGAUACCGAAUCCAGAGAGGUGAACAGAUUCACCCUUCCUAAUAAUACAACCACAGCAACAGCAGCUGUGACUGAGGAGAAAGCAGAAUAACAUCUCUUCAAGUGGGGACUCCCUGAUUCAACAGGCAUUAUUCUUGAUCUGAAGGCUAUGAAAGAGAUUGGUAGACUAAGAACCUUGGCUGAUGCUCUAGAGAUAAACAUACAGAAAGAUACUCACUAAUACUUUUGUUCAUUCAUCUUAACAUAGACAAGGCUCCAUGAACCAGCCAAUAAUCUUCUCACAAUAGGGCUUGGAAUUAUAUUCUUUUCAGCCUGGUCUUUUCUCUGUGUUCUCUAAGUCCUUAAGAGAGACCAAGUGAACCAUCAAACUCAGAACCCAACCUCAUAUGGAUUUACUGAAAGAUAUCAAGAGGUAGUUGAAUGUUCCUGCCAAGAAAAAGUGACAUCUUUUAACUUUUUGGUAUUAUCUCUGUUUAUAAAGAAUAAGACUUCCUGCCUCACAAGCACAAGGACCCAAGUUCGAUCCCGAUCCUCGGUCCCAAAAAUAAGCUGCUAUUCAAAAAACAACGUUAAGAAGUUGAGUAGGCAAUUGCAUAUUUGGCAAAAGACAAGAGUUUGGCAAUUUCUUAAAAUGUAUGUACCCUUAAGUAUAUAGCCCCACAAUUCACUACUUGGUAUUUACCCAAAGGAAAUAUAAAGGUAACAAAACUAACCAAUCAAAAAUGCAUUUUUUUCGGAAAUGUUUUAUUUACUUAUUGUAGCC